CAAUAUGUCACACAGUUACAGUUUAGAGACAGCAGGUCUGAAUGCCUCAGCCCAGGGUGAGGGGACAGUGAGAAGGAUGAAUCCAGAAGCAUCAUUUUUGAAGUGUUCUUGGCCUUAUGUAAAUUUACAUUCAGGGAGAGGGAAAAAAAAUCACUUUUUUUUUUUUUUUUUUGCCUAAGGGUGAAAUUAUCAGACUCCUAAGGAAGCCAGAUAGAUUUAGAAGAUUCAGGUGCUUUCAAAUACCUAGUCAAUUUAUAGAUAGCAGUUUCCCAUGUAAUCCUAUGAUUGAAGAAUGAAUGAAUCUGACAGUCAGCAUCUCUGUAAGGACUGACAUACAGAUCUUCAAAGGUAAUUCAACUGAUCUGGAAAGCUUCCUCUUCAUGCUGCUGUAAUGAAUGCUGCCAGCUUCAUGGCCACAGCCUUUCACAGGCACUGUCAGUGGACCAAUUUUGACAUCCUUAAAAUGCAGAUUUCUCAAGGUUAGUUUAGUUCUUGGGUCUGCAAAAUCCAUGUAUUUUAAAAUCCUUCUAUAUGUUUAGGGAACUUUAAACACAUGCACACAACCCUGUCUUUGGCCCUCUUCGUUACAACCCUGUCCACGACUUCCUAGUCUGCUGCAAUACGAAGUAAAAUGGGUUAGCACAAGCUACAAUAGGCAACAGCUGUGAUGAUGGAAGUGCACGUGAAUUCAGUGGAUGGAUAUAUCCUAAGAAGUACCAUGAACCUCUACUACACAUGGAUGUGACUCUAGAUCUCUCCAGAAGCACUCCUCUCAUCCUGUCCUAUCUAAACAUAGUGAAAAAUAAACUAGGAACACAAA